rnacentral:rRNA from 1 species
GAGUUUGAUCGUGGCUCAGGAUGAACGCUGGCGGCGUGCUUAACACAUGCAAGUCGAACGAAGCGCCUUAUUUGAUUUUCUUCGGAACUGAAGAUUUGGUGACUGAGUGGCGGACGGGCGAGUAACGCGUGGGUAACCUGCCCUGUACAGGGGGAGUAACAAUCAGAAAUAGACUGCUAAUACCGCAUAAGACCACAGCACCGCAUGGUGCAGGGGUAAAAACGUACCGGUGGUACAGGAUGGACCCGCGUCUGAUUAGCUGGUUGGUGAGGUAACGGCUCACCAAGGCGACGAUCAGUAGCCGGCUUGAGGAGAGUGAACGGCCACUAGUUGGGACUGAGACGACC